GACGAGCGCUGGCGGCGUGCUUAACACAUGCAAGUCGAACGGAAAGGCCCUGCUUUUUUGGGGUGCUCGAGUGGCGAACGGGUGAGUAACACGUGAGUAACCUGCCCUUGACUUUGGGAUAACUUCAGGAAACUGGGGCUAAUACCGGAUAGCAGCUCCUGCUGCAUGGUGGGCGUUGGAAAGUUUCGGCGGUUGGGGAUGGACUCGCGGCUGAUCAGCUUGUUGGUGGGGUAGUGGCUUACCAAGGCUUUGACGGGUAGCUCGCCUGAGAGGGUGACCGGGGACAUUGGGACUGCGAUAGGGCGCAGAGUCCUACGGGAGGCAGCAGGGGGGAAUAUUGCACAAUGGGCGGAAGUCUGAUGCAGAAACGCCGCGUGCGUGAUGACGGUCUUCGGGUUGUAAACCGCUUUCGCCUGUGACGAAGCGUUAGUGACGGUAAUGGGUAAAGAAGCACCGGCUAACUACGUG
rnacentral:rRNA from 1 species